rnacentral:tRNA from 1 species
GUUUUCUUGGCAGAUUAGUGCUAUAGAUUUAGAAUCUAUUUAUGUAAAAUUUUUUACAGAUAACA